CAGGCUGAUAAGCCCUCUCUGAAACCACUGGUAUUGAAGCAAUUAUUCAGCAGCUGCAGCCCCUUGCAGCUGAGCAGAGAUUGCCAUCUCUGUCCAUGGGAACACUGUCCCUGUGCCUCCCUAAUGCAUCCUGGCCUCCAGACCUUAUUUAUGGCACCUUCUGGCUGAGCUCCAAAUGACACAGCUUGGGGAUCUUUACUGUGAUUUCUUUACUCUGUCCUCAAAACCAAGAGUCUCAAGGCUGUGGAUUCUCCAGAAGAACCUAUUUCUUCUACAACCAGAGGCUGAACAAGAGUGAACCAUUAUAGAAGUUUAAAUAAACCCCAUAAGGUCAUCUGCUGCUUAAAUCCCUGCUACCAGGUGCCACGCUAUCAGAAGGAUGUCCUUUCUGAACUUCUGACAUGAUUUAGCAGGCACAGACCAGUGUGGUCGGUGAAGUCACAUCCUGGAGUGUCAUGUUGUGCGCCACAACCACGUGCUGCCAGGCCAAGAAGCCACCAAUGGGGUUCUCCAUCCAUCCCCCCUGGUGUCAGGCCCUCAAAGGACAGGCUGCAGUGCCAGAAUUGCUGCCUGGACACCUUCUCUAUGGACCCAGGACCUAA
rnacentral:lncRNA from 1 species